AUCCUUUUGUGGUCCAUAAGCGUGAUGAUUGGGUCUGCACAGGUUUGUGUGACAUCUGCCUCCCUCCAGCCUUGUUAAGACGCCAGCACAUCACCCAUCUGACU